UCCAGGCCCUACGGGGCGCACCAGGGGCGAAACUUCCGCAAUGCGGGAAACCGUGACGGAGCCACCCUGAGUGCCACCCGAUGAGGGUGGCUUUUGCCCGGUCUAAAAAGCCGGGCGAAUAAGCGGGGGCAAGCCUGGUGUCAGCCGCCGCGGUAA
rnacentral:rRNA from 1 species